rnacentral:rRNA from 1 species
AUUGAACGCUGGCGGUAGGCCUAACACAUGCAAGUCGAACGGCAGCACAGUAAGAGCUUGCUCUUACGGGUGGCGAGUGGCGGACGGUUGAGGAAUACAUCGGAAGCUACUUUUUCGUGGGGGAGAACGUAGGGAAACUUACGCUAAUACCGCAUACGACCUACGGGUGAAAGCAGGGGAUCUUCGGACCUUGCGCGAGUGAAUGAGCCGAUGUCGGAUUAGCUAGUUGGCGGGGUAAAGGCCCACCAAGGCGACGAUCCGUAGCUGGUCUGAGAGGAUGAUCAGCCACACUGGAACUGAGACACGGUCCAGACUCCUACGGGAGGCAGCAGUGGGGAAUAUUGGACAAUGGGCGAAAGCCUGAUCCAGCCAUGCCGCGUGGGUGAAGAAGGCCUUCGGGUUGUAAAGCCCUUUUGUUGGGAAAGAAAAGCAGCAGGUUAAUACCCCGCUGUUCUGACGGUACCCACAGAAUAAGCACCGGCUAACUUCGUG